GUCCACGCUGUAAAACGAUGAGCACUAGGUGUCGUGGGUAUUGACCCCCGCGGUGCCGUAGCUAACGCAUUAAGUGCUCCGCCUGGGGACUACGGCCGCAAGGUUAAAACUCAAAGGAAUUGACGGGGCCCGCACAAGCGGUGGAGCAUGUGGUUCAAUUUCGACGCAACGCGAAGAACCUUACCUGGGCUAGACAACGGAGGACAGCUCCAGAGAUGGGGUCUUCCCUUCGGGGACCUCCGGUUCAGGUGCUGCAUGGCUGUCGU
rnacentral:rRNA from 1 species